UUAUUAUGCAGAAUCAAUGGUAGAGGCGAUUGAAACCGCCUCUAUCCUACAGAUAUAGUAAAAUAUUAUAUUAAUAUUUAUAUUAAUAUACAUUUAUGAAUAAAAAAUUAAAAAUUAUUAACAAACAUAGUAUCAUAAAUAUUACCACAAUCAAAUAUUACAUUUCUCACCAAAAAAUAAUUCUCAACAAGUAACAACUCAAUAUUUUAACAUAUGAUCCAAAACACAAUAUUGCCAUUCAAUACAUAUCCAAUAGUAGCAACACAAAAAGCAACAUCCUGAUUGUUUAACAUAUAAUCCAAAACACAAUAUU
rnacentral:lncRNA from 1 species